UGGCACUCCAGAUGUUUUGGACUACACCUCCCAUGAUGCUUUGCCAGCAUUAUAGGGGAUGUAGUCCACAACAUCUGGAGUCCCG